ACGUGCCCCGCGUCCACUGCGGUUCUGAGCGCGCCGUCCGCACUCAUCUGACAGCUGCUCGCUACGUGUUGUCAGCC
rnacentral:sRNA from 2 species